rnacentral:rRNA from 1 species
GUGCUAAGGUAGCAAAAUCAUUUGUUUUUUAAUUGAAAACUGGAAUGAACGGUCGAACAAAAAAUUACUAUUUAAUUGAGUUUUUUAUAAUUUUUAUUUUGUGUAAAAAUACAUAAAUAAUUAGAAGGGACGAUAAGACCCUAGAAGCUUUAUUAGUAAAUCAUAUUAUUGUUUUAACAUUAAAAUUAAAUUUAUUUUGCUGGGGUAGUAGUUUUUAUAACAAAUAUUUUUAUUACAAUUUGUGUCAAAGGGCCUUUAUAUUAGGAAAGUUAGUUAAAGUUACUUUAGGGAUAACAGCGUGAUAGUUACGGGAAGACCCUAUUUAUGUAGCAGAUUUCGACCUCGAUGUUGAAUUAAAAUUCUUUAUAAAGUAGAAAUUAUUUAUGAAAGUUUGUUCAACUUUUAAAAAUUUACAUGA